rnacentral:rRNA from 1 species
UUGGAGGGCAAGUCUGGUGCCAGCAGCCGCGGUAAUUCCAGCUCCAAUAGCGUAUAUUAAAGUUGUUGCAGUUAAAAAGCUCGUAGUUGAACCUUGGGUCUGGCUGGCCGGUCCGCCUCACCGCGAGUACUGGUCCGGCUGGACCCUUUCCUUCUGGGGAACCUCAUGGCCUUCACUGGCUGUGGGGGGAACCAGGACUUUUACUGUGAAAAAAUUAGAGUGUUCAAAGCAGGCCUUUGCUCGAAUACAUUAGCAUGGAAUAAUAGAAUAGGA